GCUGUAGGAGAGACUGUACCACACUCAGCUGCAUGGAAGAUGGCUCCCAUCCUUUGAAUGGACCCCUGGUCCUUGGCCACCAGAAGACUGAAUGAGGGGAAAUGUCUCCUGUCAGCUUCAUCACGGACCAGUGGCCAAGAGCAGCAUCCACGGGACAGGCUUUCUACUAUGGACCAGUGAGAGGUAAGGAGCAAAGCCCAGCAGUGCUGGACUCUGCUUUUGAAAUCUUUGGCCUUUCCAUCUUCAGGAAACUCCAGGGAAGCUGGCGAGGACUAUUUCCCAGGGGGAUGUUAUGUGCUGUGAGUUCUAUGACAGUGAGCAGUGGAACAUGUAAACUGUCCAGAACCUGGCCGAGAGUGGGCCUUCUCUGGACUGGUGGCCUUGGCUCCCUCCUGGCUUCCCUUGCUUGGACCUCGUGCAAGUGACUUACUGAGAGAACGUCACAUUCACAGAGACCAGCCUGGCUUAUAAACACAGUAACCAGCCGGCAGCUCGAGCUGCAGUCAGAAGGUUCCGGGAGACGCUUCCUCUGGGCUGGUGAUCCCAGAGCCUGGCUGUAUGAGUGCAAUACACAGGUGUCCUACUUCCGGUUCUCUGCUCCCGCUCUUGUGCCUUCUCACCCUUCCAGGACUUCCUCCAGUGCCAGAGGAGAGGGAAGAGAGGCAGGAGGCCCAGGACAAGAGUCCAAAGAUGGGCCCCAACAAGGCUGCAGGUCACAGUGGAAGAAAUGGUUGCUACCUAUGGAUUGACCUUCAAGGGGAAACGACCCAGCUGGGAAGGAGGAGAAAAUGAAAUGUUGCCUGGAGACAAUGGCCGAGACAGCAGGUCGCACCCAGCACAGCCGCCUUCACCUCUCCCCACGGCCCUGUCCCGCCUUUGCAGUUGGGUCUGCACAUUUCUCUGCUGAGCCUGAACCUGAAGAGUCUGUGGCAGUGGCGGCAGUGCUGAUCACUUCACCCUGUGCUCAUGGAGCACAGCAACGAGAUUGGGAGAAUGGAUUUCGGCCAGGGAUGAAGGAGGUAUCUCAGGAAGGAUUUCAUCUCCACCAACACUCAGGUGUGGACCCGUGUUUUCAGGGCAGGUGGAGGAGCAAGGAGCAGCCAGGGCUGUGUCCCAGGUCUUUGCAGUCCCCCUCCCACAGCGUGCACCUUGUCCUCAGUCCUCAUGCAGCAGUGGUGGGAAGCAGGCUGUGGCCAGCGGGGGAGCCUGGCCAUGGCCACACAGGAGAAGCUGGAGGGAGAGCAGUUGUUGGCUGGGGUCCUGGGUGUGUCGCAGUCGCCCCCUGCAGGCCCUGGGGCAGGAGACAGGGCUGA
rnacentral:lncRNA from 1 species